rnacentral:rRNA from 1 species
GAUGAACGCUGGCGGCGUGCCUAAUACAUGCAAGUCGAGCGAACAGAUGAGGAGCUUGCUCCUCUGACGUUAGCGGCGGACGGGUGAGUAACACGUGGAUAACCUACCUAUAAGACUGGGAUAACUUCGGGAAACCGGAGCUAAUACCGGAUAAUAUAUUUAACCGCAUGGUUCAAUAGUGAAAGACGGUUUUGCUGUCACUUGUAGAUGGAUCCGCGCCGCAUUAGCUAGUUGGUAAGGAAAAGGCUUACCAAGGCAACGAUGCGUAGCCGACCUGAGGGGGUGAUCGGCCACACUGGAACUGAGAACCGGUCCAAACUCCUACGGGAGGCAGCAGUGGGGAAUCUUCGGCAAUGGGCGAAGGCCUGACGGAGCAACGCCGCGUGGGUGAUGAAGGUCUUCGGAUCGUAAAACUCUGUUAUUAGGGAAGAACAAAUGUGUAAGUAACUAUGCACGUCUUGACGGUACCUAAUCAGAAAGCCACGGCUAACUACGUG